rnacentral:lncRNA from 1 species
UUAUUAACCAUGGAACACACUCUUUUUGCAUGCAUGAAAAUCUCUUUCUUUUCAUGAAAAGCAAUUGUGAGCAGAAUGGAGCAGGUAUUUCCUCAGAGGGGAGUCACUCUAUCAGACAGAGUUAGUCUUUUAUAUUUUGUGACUCUGUCUUUCGAGCUAAGGCAGAGCAAUUGUUCUUUAGCACCCCUUCCUCGCUUUUUCGCUAUAUACAGAAGUAUCUUCGUAUAGAUUAGAUAUAGAUGAUUUCCCACUUGGACUUAGUAGUUGCUGAGAACAUUGAAUUUGGUCUAUCACUUUUCCUUUUUUUUCUGAGCAAAAGUAUCUUCAAAGAACUAAAAAAAAUGUAAUUCUAACAUGAGGACGGUCUGCUAUCUUAUCUUCUGUUUUCCAAUUAUAUCUGCCAUCUCAGUUUUAAGAUCAACAAAGAAGGUGGAUAAAGCACUUGUGAAAUUAUCAGCCACACCAAGACAACAGUAUUCUCAGAGGUAGGAGUUAAGGGGUCUCUGAAAUAAGAGAUUAAUUUAUUUUUAAUCUCUGUCUUUUUUAAGGAUUGGAUUUUUGACCAAUCCAUUUCAACAGGAAUGAUCUCAGAGAUAUAAUGUGAGGUGUGCAGCUCUCUCAAAUGUUGAUCAUUAUAUUUUAUAUCAUUUUGUUAAUUAAUUUAUAUUGCUUUUUCUUACCGAGUUUUAGCAUCUUCAUGUCCUACAAGGAGAUGAGUUGAUAGAUAUCAGGUUAUCUUAGACUACACAUUCCUAGAAUAAACUUAUAUUCUUCAGUGAACUUCUCUUUUUACUUAGGAAGGUUAGGAAACGUAACUAGAUUAUGCAAAUCUGAUCUGAACAAAGAUUUGAAGAUAUAAAACUAAUGCAAAUGAAAAAGCUUACACAAAGGGCAAUUAAGAUGGAAGAAUAAAAGCUUAGAUAGUGCUUUCAAGCAAAGGGAGCAGAACAGUGGUCAGGAGCAGGACCAGUCCAACUGUCCAGUCAC